CCUGAGUACCUGCAGUAUUCUAUUAUGAAUUUGGCAUGAAAGAGCCGAAAGAAGGGAAUGGCAUCAAACAGAUGCACACAAAGAGAGAAGUCUGCUCAGGAAACCAAAUGAAGAUCAAGCAGACGGAGAAAGAGCCUUUGAUAAGCAUUCAUCAAACUCCAAUCAAGAAGGCUGUGACUUGAACCCAACCUCAUGUAACCCUUUAGUCUCCAUGACUACAAAAGAACCAAGAUCAGGUCUCAGAAGAGACCAGUUAAUGCCUCUCACUAUUUGA